rnacentral:rRNA from 1 species
GUAGGUGGCAAGCGUUGUCCGGAAUUAUUGGGCGUAAAGCGCGCGCAGGCGGUUCUUUAAGUCUGAUGUGAAAGCCCACGGCUCAACCGUGGAGGGUCAUUGGAAACUGGAGAACUUGAGUACAGAAGAGGAAAGCGGAAUUCCACGUGUAGCGGUGAAAUGCGUAGAGAUGUGGAGGAACACCAGUGGCGAAGGCGGCUUUCUGGUCUGUAACUGACGCUGAGGCGCGAAAGCGUGGGGAGCAAACAGGAUUAGAUACCCUGGUAGUCCACGCCGUAAACGAUGGGUGCUAAGUGUCAGGGGGGUUUCCGCCCCCCUUAGUGCUGCAGCUAACGCAUUAAGCACUCCGCCUGGGAGUACGGCCGCAAGGCUG